rnacentral:lncRNA from 1 species
AUGCUCAGAUUCUGCUCCAACAAGCCUGGGGCAGGGGUGGGGCAGGAGAAGGGGGGCGGGCACAGGAGAACGUGUGUCCUCGACGCUCACACAAGACUCUUACUGUGUACAGCUGAUGGAUUCAGGAUGGAGACGUGGUCCCGUGAUGGUGUCUGGGAGAUGGUGUCAGCAUGGAGACGUGGUCCCGCGAUGGUAUCUGGGAGAUGGUGUCAGGUAGAGACGUGGUCUCGUGAUGGUGUCUGGGAGAUGGUGUCAGGGCGGAGACAUGGUCCCGUGAUGGUGCCUUGGAGAUGGUGUCAGGGGGGAGACAUGGUCCCUGAAUGGUAUAUGGGAGAUGGUGUCAGGGGGAGACGUGGUCCUCCGAUGGUGCCUCCUGGGAGAUGGUUUCAGGUGGAGACGUGGUCCCGUGAUGGUGCCUGGGAGAUGGUGUCAGGGUGGAGACGUGGUCCCGCGAUGGUGUCUGGAAGAUGGUUUCAGGUGGAGAUGUGGUCCCGUGAUGUUGUCUGGAAGAUGGUGUCAGGUGGAGACCUGGUUCCGCGAAGGUGCCACCUGGGAGAUGGUGUCAGGUGCAGACAUGGUCCCGUGAUGUUGUCUGGGAGAUGGUGUCAGGGUGGAGACAUGGUUCCACGAUGGUGCCACCUGAGAGAUGGUGUCAGGUGCAGACGUGGUCCCAUGAUGGUGUCUGGGAGAUGGUGUCAGGGUGGAGACGUGGUCCCGCGAUGGUGUCUGGAAGAUGGUUCAGGUGGAGAUGUGG